rnacentral:lncRNA from 1 species
AUGUUCUCACACCUCUGGACACAGACCUUCCUCCUACAUUAUCAUUGUACUGCUGGAGGAUCUUUCCCCUCUUAUAUACAUUAUUAUCUUAAAAACAUGAUGGAGCAUGAUGGUGUGUCUGUGUGUGUGUGUGUGUGUGUGUCUGUGUGGGUCUGUGUGUGUGUGUGUGUGUGUGUGUGUGUGUCCACAGGGCAUCCCUGGACAAGAUGGUCCCCCUGGUUCGUCAGGUAUCCCAGGAUGCAACGGUACAAAGGGAGACCGAGGGACGGAUGGCCAGCCGGGGUUCCCUGGUCUACAAGGCCCUCCUGGUAUCCCCGGAAUUAUGGGAAUGAAAGGAGAUCCAGGAGGUGUUAUAGGAAUCAUCCCACUGAAAGGAGACAAAGGAUACUCUGGAACACCUGGUCUACCUGGACCCCAGGGACCCACGGGACCUGA